CAGCAGCCGCGGUAAUUCGUAGGGUGCGAGCGUUAAUCGGAAUUACUGGGCGUAAAGCGUGCGCAGGCGGUGAGUUAAGUCUGCUGUGAAAGCCCCGGGCUCAACCUGGGAACGGCAGUGGAAACUGGCUCGCUGGAGUAUGGCAGAGGGGGGUGGAAUUCCGCGUGUAGCAGUGAAAUGCGUAGAGAUGCGGAGGAACACCGAUGGCGAAGGCAGCCCCCUGGGCCAAUACUGACGCUCAGGCACGAAAGCGUGGGGAGCAAACAGGAUUAGAUACCCUGGUAGUCCACGCCCUAAACGAUGUCAACUGGGUGUUGGGGAAGCGAUUCCUUGGUACCGUAGCUAACGCGUGAAGUUGACCGCCUGGGGAGUACGGCCGCAAGGUUAAAACUUAAAGGAAUUGACGG
rnacentral:rRNA from 1 species